rnacentral:rRNA from 1 species
CGCUGGCGGCAGGCUUAACACAUGCAAGUCGAGCGCCGUAGCAAUACGGAGCGGCAGACGGGUGAGUAACACGUGGGAACGUACCUUUUGGUUCGGAACAACACAGGGAAACUUGUGCUAAUACCGGAUAAGCCCUUACGGGGAAAGAUUUAUCGCCGAAAGAUCGGCCUGCGUCUGAUUAGCUAGUUGGUGAGGUAACGGCUCACCAAGGCGACGAUCAGUAGCUGGUCUGAGAGGAUGAUCAGCCACACUGGGACUGAGACACGGCCCAGACUCCUACGGGAGGCAGCAGUGGGGAAUAUUGGACAAUGGGCGCAAGCCUGAUCCAGCCAUGCCGCGUGAGUAAUGAAGGCCCUAGGGUUGUAAAGCUCUUUUGUGCGGGAAGAUAAUGACUGUACCGCAAGAAUAAGCCCCGGCUAACUUCGUGCCAGCAGCCGCGGUAAUACGAAGGGGGCUAGCGUUGCUCGGAAUCACUGGGCGUAAAGCGCACGUAGGCGGACUCUUAAGUCGGUGGUGAAAUCCUGGAGCUCAACUCCAGAACUGCCUUCGAUACUGGGAGUCUCGAGUUCGGGAGAGGUGAGUGGAACU